AGACCCGAAACCCGGUGAUCUAGCCAUGGGCAGGUUGAAGGUUGGGUAACACUAACUGGAGGACCGAACCGACUAAUGUUGAAAAAUUAGCGGAUGACCUGUGGCUGGGGGUGAAAGGCCAAUCAAACCGGGAGAUAGCUGGUUCUCCCCGAAAGCUAUUUAGGUAGCGCCUCGUGAAUUCAUCUCCGGGGGUAGAGCACUGUUUCGGCUAGGGGGCCAUCCCGGCUUACCAACCCGAUGCAAACUGCGAAUACCGGAGAAUGUUAUCACGGGAGACACACGGCGGGUGCUAACGUCCGUCGUGAAGAGGGAAACAACCCAGACCGCCAGCUAAGGUCCCAAAGUCAUGGUUAAGUGGGAAACGAUGUGGGAAGGCCCAGACAGCCAGGAUGUUGGCUUAGAAGCAGCCAUCAUUUAAAGAAAGCGUAAUAGCUCACUGGUCGAGUCGGCCUGCGCGGAAGAUGUAACGGGGCUAAACCAUGCACCGAAGCUGCGGCAGCGACGCUGAUGCGUUGUUGGGUAGGGGAGCGUUCUGUAAGCCUGCGAAGGUGGCCUGUGAGGGUUGCUGGAGGUAUCAGAAGUGCGAAUGCUGACAUAAGUAACGAUAAAGCGGGUGAAAAGCCCGCUCGCCGGAAGACCAAGGGUUCCUGUCCAACGUUAAUCGGGGCAGGGUGAGUCGACCCCUAAGGCGAGGCCGAAAGGCGUAGUCGAUGGGAAACGGGUUAAUAUUCCCGUACUUGGUGUUACUGCGAAGGGGGGACGGAGAAGGCUAUGUUGGCCGGGCGACGGUUGUCCCGGUUUAAGCGUGUAGGUGUGUGUUCCAGGUAAAUCCGGUUCACUUUAACACUGAGGCGUGAUGACGAGGCACUACGGUGCUGAAGCAACAAAUGCCCUGCUUCCAGGAAAAGCCUCUAAGCAUCAGGUAACAUCAAAUCGUACCCCAAACCGACACAGGUGGUCAGGUAGAGAAUACCAAGGCGCUUGAGAGAACUCGGGUGAAGGAACUAGGCAAAAUGGUGCCGUAACUUCGGGAGAAGGCACGCUGACACGUAGGUGAAGUGAUUUACUCAUGGAGCUGAAGUCAGUCGAAGAUACCAGCUGGCUGCAACUGUUUAUUAAAAACACAGCACUGUGCAAACACGAAAGUGGACGUAUACGGUGUGACGCCUGCCCGGUGCCGGAAGGUUAAUUGAUGGGGUCAGCGCAAGCGAAGCUCCUGAUCGAAGCCCCGGUAAACGGCGGCCGUAACUAUAACGGUCCUAAGGUAGCGAAAUUCCUUGUCGGGUAAGUUCCGACCUGCACGAAUGGCGUAAUGAUGGCCAGGCUGUCUCCACCCGAGACUCAGUGAAAUUGAACUCGCUGUGAAGAUGCAGUGUACCCGCGGCAAGACGGAAAGACCCCGUGAACCUUUACUAUAGCUUGACACUGAACAUUGAGCCUUGAUGUGUAGGAUAGGUGGGAGGCUUUGAAGUGUGGACGCCAGUCUGCAUGGAGCCGGCCUUGAAAUACCACCCUUUAAUGUUUGAUGUUCUAACGUGGACCCGUGAUCCGGGUUGCGGACAGUGUCUGGUGGGUAGUUUGACUGGGGCGGUCUCCUCCUAAAGAGUAACGGAGGAGCACGAAGGUUGGCUAAUCCUGGUCGGACAUCAGGAGGUUAGUGCAAUGGCAUAAGCCAGCUUGACUGCGAGCGUGACGGCGCGAGCAGGUGCGAAAGCAGGUCAUAGUGAUCCGGUGGUUCUGAAUGGAAGGGCCAUCGCUCAACGGAUAAAAGGUACUCCGGGGAUAACAGGCUGAUACCGCCCAAGAGUUCAUAUCGACGGCGGUGUUUGGCACCUCGAUGUCGGCUCAUCACAUCCUGGGGCUGAAGUAGGUCCCAAGGGUAUGGCUGUUCGCCAUUUAAAGUGGUACGCGAGCUGGGUUUAGAACGUCGUGAGACAGUUCGGUCCCUAUCUGCCGUGGGCGCUGGAGAACUGAGGGGGGCUGCUCCUAGUACGAGAGGACCGGAGUGGACGCAUCACUGGUGUUCGGGUUGUCAUGCCAAUGGCACUGCCCGGUAGCUAAAUGCGGAAGAGAUAAGUGCUGAAAGCAUCUAAGCACGAAACUUGCCCCGAGAUGA
rnacentral:rRNA from 1 species